UCGAGGAUAAUUCGCAAUGGACGAAAGUCUGACGAUGCGACGCCGCGUGAAUGAUGAAGGCCUUCGGGUUGUAAAGUUCUGUCGCCCUGGAACAAGAGAUGUGUACAAAUAGUAUAUGUCAAUGAGUGUACAGGGAAAGGAAGCACUGGCUAAUUCCGUGCCAGCAGCUGCGGUAAUACGGAAGGUGCAAGCGUUAGUCGGAAUUAUUGGGCGUAAAGGGUGCGUAGGCGGCUAUAAACGUUGAUGGUGAAAUUCUGGGGCUCAACUUCAGAACUGCCUUCAAAACGGUAUGGCUUAGAGGAAUGGCGGAGAAAAUGGAAUUCCAUAUGUAGCGGUGAAAUGCGUAGAUAUAUGGAAGAACACCUGUGGCGAAAGCGGUUUUCUAGCCUUCUCCUGACGCUGAGGCACGAAAGCAAGGGGAUCAAACAGG
rnacentral:rRNA from 1 species